AAAAGCUGCACAAAAAAAAAGAAAAGAAAACACUAUCUUUGCACACUUGAUAAAAAAAAAAAAACAUGCUUCAAAUCAAUCAGCAAGUAAACAACCCAGAGAAACGUGCAGUUUUGGAUGGACGUGGAAGGUAGGCCGUGUCCUCGGGGCCCUGAGUGUUUCAUGUCUCUUACAAAGGGAUAUCAUCGGGAAAACCUCACCAGAAACCUCCUCCCCUCGAGAUCAAUUCAGAGAAAUGUCUCAGCAUGUUUGUCGCCCUGGAAUGCACUGUGUUCAUGUGUGUGAGGGUGGCUGACUGGGGGAGUGCAGACAGUCUCACUCUGACUCGUCUGCAGGCGAACAGAAAACACACAAUAAAACCAUCUGUGUUCGUUAGCGCUGUUACGAUGGCAACUAUCGGGAUAUGUUUGCUUUAAAGCUAGAGCGACACUGUGGACUAAGAUGGCAGAUCAUGCUGUGGAAAAUUUAACAAAAUAAAAGUGGGCUAAAGAAGAUCGGUCAUCAAAUGUGGCCCCGAUCCUACAAACGGUCCAUGGCGGUACACUGUAGAAGUCUUUGGUUGUGACUUAAAAAAAAAAGAAAAAAAGAGAUGCUUAACCUUAAAACAGUUACAACAGCACCCUCUUCUGUUAGAUUUUAUGUCCUACAAGCCUCAACAGGGUGAAAUUAUUGUAGGUUAAUUUUAAUAAACUGUAUUCUCACAAAGCUAAUCUAUUUCAGCAAUUUAAUUCAAUACUGUUGUUAGACUCAUUAUACACAUAUUUUUUUUCAGUGCUUAUUUCUGUAAUUGAUGAUUAUGACUCACAAACAAGGACCCCCCCCAAAAAAAAU